rnacentral:rRNA from 1 species
UAUGAUGGGCUACAAACGUGAUACAAUGGCUGUUACAAAGAGUAGCUGAAGCGCGAGUUUUUAGCCAAUCUCAAAAAAGCAGUCUCAGUUCGGAUUGAAGUCUGUAACUCGACUUCAUGAAGUUGGAAUCGCUAGUAAUCGCGAAUCAGCAUGUCGCGGUGAAUACGUUCUCGGGGUUUGUACACACCGCCCGUCAAACCACGAAAGUUAGCAAUACCCGAAAGCAGCAGCUUAACUUCGCAAGAAGAGGGAACUGUCUAAGGUAGGGUUGAUGAUUGGGGUUAAGUCGUAACAAGGUAUCCCUACCGGAAGGUGGGGAUGGAUCACCUCCUUUCUAA